CCAUCCCUGUGCGACAAUCGCAUUCCCGCCGCGGUUUCCGUCCACCUAUCAUGCGACAUCCAUCGAUCCCGCAAUCCCCGUUUCCCCGCUUUCCUUCAUCUCCGGCGUGAAUCACGGCUUCCUUCCUUCUCUACCCACGACCUCCUUCCCCAUGUGAAUCACCCCGCACCGAUCCCGUAGCCCCCUUUUGUCCCUUGAUUCUCCUCUCCUUUUUCUUUCCAUCCUCACUCGAACGUCGCCUACCAAUCCUCUCCUCCUGUAGCGCCGCUCCACCACCUUGCAAGUUGCGAUGCUUUGCCCCACACCCCAUCUCCAUCGGUGCAAUGACGGGGCAGGAGGAGGAGGCGGCCACUGGAGCUCCAUGACGGGGCAUCCUCCAGUUGUUGUUCGAGCUCGCGGCAUCCGGCUAUCGUCUCCCAUUCUCAUCCAACCCCCACCCCCGCAUCCUGGAGGGCCGCAACGACAGGGACGCAUGCAACUGGUCAAGACACAGCACACACUACGAUGGAGUGGUGGGGGUAGAAGCCUGAAGACGGGAGCCGCCGGGUAAGGAUGGCGCGGGUAGUCCUCCGGCUACACGGCCACCAAGCAAGGAUGCACAUAAGGUGUUCGACUAUAUGGCUCAGCAGUGACACGAUUGAAGCAUAGGUUUCCCACAAGAAGAUGAACACAUUGUCUGUACAUUUUGCAAUAAGCUAUGGAUCUGGUUUCCCUUGUUUAUUGACAGAUAUUAUGAUUCUUGAUUACUGAAUUUGGCUCUCGUAUGCAGGGUUGGAUGGACCCAAAUUACUCCAUCCAACUGCUUGUGCUACUAGCAUCUUCUGGAUUCUGAAUGCAGCCAAUUGUAUUAGAAAAAGGGGAACAUACUCUGUCGUACAUACAUCUAUGGGCCCACCAGAAGGUUUGGACAGUCCUAGAUACAAAGUUGUAUACCGAGACAUGUCAGAUAUGGAGACUACGGUGCAGGACAGCAUGCUCUACAUGGAGGACAAGAAUUAGUUGAGGAUUAGGAAACUACUCAUAGCAGAUAGAGUAGGACUCACUAGUUGAAUCUGACAAGUAUU